rnacentral:rRNA from 1 species
UACGUAGGGUGCGAGCGUUGUCCGGAAUUACUGGGCGUAAGAGCUCGUAGGUGGUUUGUCGCGUUGUUCGUGAAAACUCACAGCUCAACUGUGGGCGUGCGGGCGAUACGGGCAGACUAGAGUACUGCAGGGGAGACUGGAAUUCCUGGUGUAGCGGUGGAAUGCGUAGAUAUCGGAAGGAACAUCAGUGGCGAAAGCGACUUCCUGGACCAAUACUGACGCUCAUGUGCGAAAGCGUGGGGAGCAAACAGG